rnacentral:lncRNA from 1 species
AGCCCCCUGGGCCAUUACCCCGACCGUCACUUCACCGAGGCCGCCCCGAGCUCCCUGAUCCGGCGCUUCCGGCGCCGCCUGCGCCGAAUCUCGCGCCAGAUCCGGGCCCGGAACGCGGCGCUGAGCGGCCCUACCCGUACCUGGACCCCGAGAACAUCGAGAACAGCGUGGCCAUCUGAGACACCCCCAAAUAUCCCAAAUUCACCCCAAAAAUCACCCCGAAAUAGUCCAAAAAUAUCCCAAAAAACCGGCCAAAAACCACCCCAAAAAUACCCCAAAUUCACCCCAAAAAUCAUCCCAAAAUAGCCCUGCCCCUACCUGGACCCCGAGAACAUCGAGAACAGCGUGGCCAUCUGAGACACCCCCAAAUAUCCCAAAUUCACCCCCAAAUAUCCCAAAUUCACCCCAAAAUAUCCCAAAAUCACCCCAAAAUAUCCCAAAAUCACCCCAAAAUACCCCCAAACCACCCCAAAAAUACCCCAAAAUCACCCCAAAAUAGCCCUGCCCCUACCUGGACCCCGAGAACAUCGAGAACAGCGUGGCCAUCUGAGACAGCCCCAAAUAUCCCAAAUUCACCCCAAAAAUCACCCCGAAAUACCCCAAAACCACCCCAAAAAUCACCCCGAAAUACCCCAAAACCACCCCAAAAAUAUCCCAAAUUCACCCCGAAAUAGCCCUACCCGUACCUGGACCCCGAGAACAUCGGGAACAGCGUGGCCAUCUGAGACACCCCAAAAUAUCCCAAAUUCACCCCAAAAAUCACCCCGAAAUACCCCAAAACCACCCCAAAAAUACCCCAAAAUCACCCCGAAAUAGCCCUGCCCCUACCUGGACCCCAAGAACAUCGAGAACUGCGUGGCCAUCUGAGACAGCCCCAAAUAUCCCAAAUUCACCCCAAAAUAGCCCAAAUUCACCCCGAAAUAGCCCUGCCCCUACCUGGACCCCGAGAACAGCGUGGCCAUCUGAGACACCCCGAAAAUAUCCCAAAAAUGCACCAAAAACACCCCGAAAUAUCCCCAAAAAUAUCCCAGAAAUGCCCCAAAAUCCACCCCAAAAAUAUCCCGAAAUCACCCAGUGUGGCACUGGGCUGUACUGGUUUGUACUGGGGGCUGUUACUGGUCUGUACUGGUUUGUACUGGGAAUGUUAUUAUAUAUUGGGAGCUGUUACUGGUCUGUACUGGGAAUGUUGUUAUGUACUGGGAGCCGUUACUGGUCUAUACUGGGAGCCGUUACUGGUCUGUACUGGUCUGUACUGGGGGCUGUUACUGGUCUGUACUGGGAGCCGUUACUGGUCUGUACUGGGAGCUGUUACUGGUCUAUACUGGGAGCCGUUACUGGUCUGUACUGGUCUGUACUGGGGGCUGUUACUGGUCUGUACUGGGAGCCGUUACUGGUCUGUACUGGGAGCUGUUACUGGUCUGUACUGGUCUAUACUGGAGCAUUACUGGUCUGUACUGGUCUGUACUGGAGCAUACUGGUGUCAAUAAAGG